UGGACUACCUCUUCAGGACACGCCGAAUACAUCCUCUCCUUCACCAGCUGGUAGUCUCGCCCUUCAAUCAUGCCACUAACAAAUAAAAAGAGAAAACUAUGAUCAAGUUGAUAAGUCUUACGACUAUAUGUGAGGAAAGCAAAUAAUUCAUGCUUGUCAAUACCAUAGUGUACAAUUCUAGCAGAAAGCACAUCAUCGUUCUGGAAGAAAAUAGGUGGAAGCAUAAGAAAGCAAUUAAACAAUCUCUUCAGAGGCACUCACAUGGUAAAAUCCAAAACAUCGAAAGCAAUAUAUUAUUUUUGCGAAAUGUACAGGAUUCAAGAAACUGAGUACCAUCAAAAGUAGUCUGCUAUCCAUAUCCAUAACUCCAAUUCUUACAUACUUGCUAAAAGUUUUAUUGGUUGAGAUCAUUUUUGGAUCACCCACCAGCAAGUAUGCAUGAUUCAUAUGUGAAGAGAAACUGACAAUUACAACCAAUAACCAAUUAGCCAACACAUGAAAAACUAUCCUAAACCACUAUGACUAGUAUUCACCAAUACCAUAGAUGAUAGCACUAUGCUAUCAGUUUCUUCAUGAUUCACCAUAUAAAAAGAUUAUACCUCUUCUACAUAGCAGCACAAGACGUUUACACAAGGAAGGAAAAGAGUAAGUUUAAUUUCUUUUCACCUAUUUCUUAUCAAUGGAGAUGGAAAGUGCUCUAGUCUAUUUUUAAUGUUUUAUCUUGUCCACCUAUUUGUAGAUAGGCCUUUUUGUAACAUGACAACCUGAAAUUUAUUAAGAGACAUGAAACUUUUAUUAUAUGAUCGAAAGAACAAAAGUUAGUAAAUAUUUGUUACAAGUACCUGGCAGGAACAAGUGCAGCCUCAGUCUUUUUCAGAAGGCUAGUACAUAUUACAAACCAGGAAACGAUUGUUGAAAUAUGUGCUAUGAUGCAGUUUCUGAAACACGGUUUCAUGGUUGGCCAUGAUAAGUGUCAAAUGUUUUCUCCUUUUUAUUCGGGGUCCAUUAGGGUCAUAGCUGAUGGUACCUUAUAAACAAAAUUUUCAGAACAGAUUGCAGCUUGUAUAAGAUAGACAGGUUUAGUUAGUAUCAUAUUUAAUCGAAAAGCAAAAUAAUCAUUUAACUAUUUACAUGUCUAGAUCCAAGGUUUGAGAAAUCAAUAAAGUGCCCUCCCUAGAAAUCACAGUGGAAGCAAGUAAAUAACCCAAGCUUGGUGUCGCACCACAAUAAAGAGGAUCAUAAAGGAAAAAAAUAGAGGGUCAUACAGAAUAAUCAGGAAUCUGUACACACAGCUUACUACAGUUUACUCAUGCUUCAGAAUCAAUCAACAUGCUUAAUGCCGCACCACAAUAAGUAGCACAUGGAUAUUCUAACUCACAGGACAACCUAUAUAAUGUCAUCUUGCCUUGCAUUUGCCCUCUCAUUGCAUCGACCACCAAGGUAACAUAAAAAAGCACGCCAACCAAGAUAAACCAAAUCAUGGACUUGGACAGGAAAAUCAAAGAGAGGGAAAACCUAUGGAUGGGUUAGAUAGCAAGUCGCUCGCGAGGGCGCCCAGGUCUAGCCGACAACACCCGGCCCCACACACAGUUCGGAAGCACUCUAGCACAUAAUCAGAUGGCAUGAAAGUACCAACAACGACCAACCAAACCGAAUAAUCCACAUGAAUGGUUGUGAAUGAAGGCAGAAUCAUAUGCAUCUCACAACUAACAAAUUUAACUGAUAAUUCAAGAUACUAAAGAUCUGCUCUACAUUUUCGACAGUGAAAAUAGUAAAGAUCUCGAAUGCAAUAAAACAACAAGGAAGCAAACAAGUUGCACAUGAUUUAAAUUACGUCGCGUAACUUCUAAAGUUUUCCCCUUAUAUGACAACCUUCUUCCCAGCAAGAGUCAUUACAGUAUUUAGAUAUCUUGUAUAAAAAAGAUCAAGAACUAAAAACUACAUUCGGCAAGACAUCCUCUCUACAAAAGGAAAUUCCCAGAGCAAACGUUAGCCGAUUCAGUGCAUAUCUCCAAGGCUCAUGUAAGGGAAUUGUCAAAAAGGAGUGAACUGGAUUGGAAGGAGCUGCAAUACCUAAGGAUCGGUUGGAGACUGCGAGGUCGACAAGGACGCCUAUCAAAGCAUGUUUCUUUUGUCAUAAGCUUUUAUUUUACUUCGUCAUGAAGCUGUGAAAAAAGCCAUCUCGGUAUGAGCUUUCGAGAUUUAAACCAACCAUUUUCAUGAAUAAAGUAGUUGCUUCAGUUCUGUUGGGCCGUAUCAUAUAACAAAGAACAGAACAAAAUAGAAGUUUCUCUACCAAUGUUGUAAUUGUCUUGAGUAAAUGGAAGUUAAGAUAAAUGAGAGUCCUUGAGGCAAACACAAAUUAAAAAAUCAGCCACCGCAAUCCUCAAUGUCCGUUGUUCCUCUCUCUAUGGCCAGGCAUUAAAACCAAAACAGCCUAACCAGCCCACAUUAAAGCAAAAAUGGAAAACAUGACAUCCUCUAUUAUAGAAUUAAGAAAAAUAUGCUCUCCGGGGAUAGAUUGGUUCACCUUGAGGUACGGAAUAAUUCGAACUCCUACAAAACAUUACAUUGUUUGCUUUAGUAUAUGACCCGUUCAAUCUGAAAAGUAUUCAAAAUUUUCAUCCAAAUCCUUGCAAUUCUUCCUACUGUGUUGAGCUUGUAACAGUGAUAUUAGUAUAAGAAUUUUAUUCUCUUUCUCUAGCUAGAAAUCUCCAAUCUGAAGUUUCAAGACACUGAUCAAAGUAUAUUAUGUCAGAAAAGAAACUCAUUCCACUAUGGAUAUAAUUAUUUGGCUCACACUUGUAAAUCAAGCAAGGAAGGAAGCGAACCUGAUGGUGUUGGUGUAUUGCGGCUCAGGCCAGUGUGCUCGACUUGCCGCUGCGUGUUGUUGGCUUCGCGCCACAAGACUCACCAUGUCCU
rnacentral:lncRNA from 1 species